rnacentral:rRNA from 1 species
AGUGAACGCUGGCGGUAGGCCUAACACAUGCAAGUCGAACGGCAGCACAGUAAGAGCUUGCUCUUACGGGUGGCGAGUGGCGGACGGGUGAGGAAUACAUCGGAAUCUACUUUUUCGUGGGGGAUAACGUAGGGAAACUUACGCUAAUACCGCAUACGACCUACGGGUGAAAGCAGUGGAUCUUCGGACCUUGCGCGAUUGAAUGAGCCGAUGUCGGAUUAGCUAGUUGGCGGGGUAAAGGCCCACCAAGGCGACGAUCCGUAGCUGGUCUGAGAGGAUGAUCAGCCACACUGGAACUGAGACACGGUCCAGACUCCUACGGGAGGCAGCAGUGGGGAAUAUUGGACAAAGGGCGCAAGCCUGAUCCAGCCAUACCGCGUGGGUGAAGAAGGCCUUCGGGUUGUAAAGCCCUUUUGUUGGGAAAGAAAAGCAGCAGGUUAAUACCACGCUGUUCUGACGGUACCCAAAGAAUAAGCACCGGCUAACUUCGUG